AAAGUCGUAACAAGGUUUCCGUAGGUGAACCUGCGGAAGGAUCAUUAUUGAAAUAAACCUGAUGAGUUGCUGCUGGUUCUCUAGGGAGCAUGUGCACACUUGUCAUCUUUAUAUCUCCACCUGUGCACCUUUUGUAGACCUGGAUAUCUCUCUGAAUGCUAGUCAUUCAGGUUUGAGGAUUGACUUUAUGUCUCUCCUUGCAUUUCCAGGCCUAUGUUUCUUUAUAUACCCAAUGUAUGUCAUAGAAUGUAAUCAAUGGGCCUUUGUGCCUAUAAACCUAUACAACUUUCAGCAACGGAUCUCUUGGCUCUC
rnacentral:misc_RNA from 1 species